GAUGAACGCUGGCGGCGUGCCUAAUACAUGCAAGUCGAGCGAACAGACGAGGAGCUUGCUCCUCUGACGUUAGCGGCGGACGGGUGAGUAACACGUGGAUAACCUACCUAUAAGACUGGGAUAACUUCGGGAAACCGGAGCUAAUACCGGAUAAUAUAUUGAACCGCAUGGUUCAAUAGUGAAAGACGGUUUUGCUGUCACUUAUAGAUGGAUCCGCGCCGCAUUAGCUAGUUGGUAAGGUAACGGCUUACCAAGGCAACGAUGCGUAGCCGACCUGAGAGGGUGAUCGGCCACACUGGAACUGAGACACGGUCCAGACUCCUACGGGAGGCAGCAGUAGGGAAGCUUCCGCAAUGGGCGAAAGCCUGACGGAGCAACGCCGCGUGAGUGAUGAAGGUCUUCGGAUCGUAAAACUCUGUUAUUAGGGAAGAACAAAUGUGUAAGUAACUAUGCACGUCUUGACGGUACCUAAGCAGAAAGUCACGGCAAACUACGU
rnacentral:rRNA from 1 species